rnacentral:rRNA from 1 species
AUUGAACGCUGGCGGCAGGCCUAACACAUGCAAGUCGAGCGGAUGAAGGGAGCUUGCUCCUGGAUUCAGCGGCGGACGGGUGAGUAAUGCCUAGGAAUCUGCCUGGUAGUGGGGGAUAACGUCCGCAAACGGGCGCUAAUACCGCAUACGUCCUGAGGGAGAAAGUGGGGGAUCUUCGGACCUCACGCUAUCAGAUGAGCCUAGGUCGGAUUAGCUAGUUGGUGGGGUAAAGGCCUACCAAGGCGACGAUCCGUAACUGGUCUGAGAGGAUGAUCAGUCACACUGGAAGUGAGACACGGUCCAGACUCCUACGGGAGGCAGCAGUGGGGAAUAUUGGACAAUGGGCGAAAGCCUGAUCCAGCCAUGCCGCGUGUGUGAAGAAGGUCUUCGGAUUGUAAAGCACUUUAAGUUGGGAGGAAGGGCAGUAAGUUAAUACCUUGCUGUUUUGACGUUACCAACAGAAUAAGCACCGGCUAACUUCGUG